AUUGAACGCUGGCGACAGGCCUAACACAUGCAAGUCGAACGGUAGCACAGAGGAGCUUGCUCCUUGGGUGACGAGUGGCGGACGGGUGAGUAAUGUCUGGGAAACUGCCCGAUGGAGGGGGAUAACUACUGGAAACGGUAGCUAAUACCGCAUAACGUCGCAAGACCAAAGAGGGGGACCUGUGGGGCCCUUGCCAUCAGAUGAACCCAGAUGGGAUUAGCUAGGAGGGGGGGUAACGGCUCACCUAGGCGACGAUCACUAGCUGGUCUGAGAGGAUGACCAGCCACACUGGAACUGAGACACGGUCCAGACUCCUACGGGAGGCAGCAGUGGGGAAUAUUGCACAAUGGGCGCAAGCCUGAUGCAGCCAUGCCGCGUGUAUGAAGAAGGCCUUCGGGUUGUAAAGUACUUUCAGCGAGGAGGAAGGCGUUAAGGUUAAUAACCUUAGCGAUUGACGUUACUCGCAGAAGAAGCACCGGCUAACUCCGUGCCAGCCGCCGCCGUAA
rnacentral:rRNA from 1 species